rnacentral:sRNA from 1 species
UAUUCUGCCCCAUGGGGAAGGAUGAGAAGCUUCGACACGGCCCGAAGGGCGAGGCGCUUUAGCGCCGAGUAAUCCUUCCCCCACCACCA